AUCGCUUCUCAGCCUUUUGGCUAAGAUCAAGUGUAGUAAACUGUUUGAAAAUAAGAUGUAACACGUUAUGGGUCAAAAUUAAUGGGUUAAUAAUCUAAAGCAUGUCAGAUACAUUUUAACAGAUCAUUC
ensembl:snRNA LOC120103365 U2 spliceosomal RNA